rnacentral:rRNA from 1 species
GACGAACGCUGGCGGCGUGCCUAAUACAUGCAAGUAGAACGCUGAAGAGAGGAGCUUGCUCUUCUUGGAUGAGUUGCGAACGGGUGAGUAACGCGUAGGUAACCUGCCUGGUAGCGGGGGAUAACUAUUGGAAACGAUAGCUAAUACCGCAUAAAAUUGAUUAUUGCAUGAUACUUAAUUGAAAGAUGCAGCUGCAUCACUACCAGAUGGACCUGCGUUGUAUUAGCUAGUUGGUGAGGUAACGGCUCACCAAGGCGAAGAUACAUAGCCGACCUGAGAGGGUGGUCGGCCACCCUGGGAAUGGGACCAGGCCCCGGCUCCCUCGGGGAGCAGCCGGAGGGAAACUUUGGCCAUGGGGGGAACCCUGACCGCGCAACGCCGGGUGGGUGAAGGAGGGUUUCGGAUCGUAAAGCUCUGUUGUAAGAGAAGAAAGGGUGUGGGAGUGGAAAGUUCACACUGUGACGGUAUCUUACCAGAAAGGGACGGCCAACUACGUG